CCCAACUUAAGGGAAGAUUCAUGGGAAAGGGGCACAAGACGCCAGAGGUGGGCUGCUCUAUAAAGUCCUAGGAUCAAGAGUAUACUCCUUCUACUUAAAAAAAAGGUAACUGUAAGACAACCUCAGGCAAGUCCUUCAGGAGGUAUUCCAGGAGAAGGCAUUGUUAUCAAGGAUGAAAACUCCUCGGGUGUUACUACCUCUGAAAACCCUCCACUGGGACAAGACAUGGAGAUGGAAGAUAGUUCUAUUGAUGAUCCUGACCAUAUAGGAGCUAUAGACCAGAGGCAGCACCUCAGUGGGAACAUGGACCAGGAAAACCCAGUGAAAGGACCCAUACACAUGACUUGAGACCACAAGUCGGAGGUGGUCUUUAGGUAAUCCAGAAUCCUCAUCUCUUCUUGUGUCUGACAUGAGUAAAAGUCAUCUAAAUUCAUUAUUUCGGCACUAUUUAUGCAGCUAAUUUUCUGCAGCUUCAUGAAAGACAUUCUGUUCUGGCCGUGGAAUGCAAACAAUCAUCUUACCAGGUUUCCCUUCUGGAACUGGGCCUGGUGUUGGGACUUUGACUGGGACCACCCCAAAAACAUAAUUCUGGGACUGUGUUGGGAAAUCUGUUGGAUCCUAUAUAUGGAGACACAGUGUCAGAGAGCUCUAUUAUGGAUCCAGGUCUGGGCUUGCACUGCCCCACGUGGAUAUCCCUGCUGGCUUUGGCUAAUCUCAAAUGCUGGAGAGGAACUUCAAUAUUUUUAGAAAGACACUCAAGCUUAGGGGCCCAUGAGGCAUGGGGCUUGCGCUGGGGUUCCUGCUUACUCAAGAAGGUUUGAAAAGAGAAAAUGACCUGGGCCUCUCUUGGACCGAGUUAUAUCCUUAUAGAAUAAUUUCUGCCCCUUUAUAAAUGAAAUAUCUGAGUAAUAAGCCAUCCAAAACUUCUUUGCCCAAAAUAACUUUUGGAUAAUUAUAAGUGAUAUUAAAGUACAAUCUAAAUGUGUUUUAAUCCCACAUAUGACUGCUACAAUCAUGUAGCAGUUAAUAAAAAAAAUUGAUAAUCAAAUUAUAGAAAAACAGCUCAUUUAAAAUGUCAGUUUUAAAGUAAUGAUUAAUCUUCAAUACUAAAUAGCAAUUAUAUGCAUUUUAAGUAGUUCAGAUAAAGAUUGCGUGUUUAGGAGAAAGUAUUUCCAGCCUUUCACAAAUGUUUUCAGAAAUGUGAAGUUGGAAAUAUAAACUGUUAUAAUGUGCACAAUUACAUAACUCCUAAAAAGUAUUUUAAACUCUUUAUAUGUAUUCAUCCUCUUAGAGCUGUUAUGUGGUAGAGAUGCUAUUAUGCUGAAUAAGUACUUAAACAUUUCUAUGGAAAUAUAAACCAAAGCAAAACAUUAAAUCUUCCGGUGCCUUGUAAGUAAGAUAAUAAGCACAGAAAUUUGUAGCAUACUUAAUAUCAUUUUCUCCACCCUGUACUUUAUCUUCAAUAUUCAUUUUUUAUUAGAUCUGGUUGAUUUUUACUUCCUUGGUGUUUGGCAAAUAGUUUUUUUCUUCUGUGCAUCUCACAUACGACUUAGUUUAGAAUUCAAUUCUAUUUAUUCCAUCUUGCUCUUUGCCUGCUCUCAUCCUUUGGGACACAUUUUCCUCAGUUUUCUAAAAACACAAAUAGAUCAUGCUACUUCUCUUCAAAUUCUUCAAUAAAUCCUAAUAUCCUUCAAAUUCAAAGCCAUUCAUCAAAGGUAAAUCUGGCAUAUAUUGGUGAUCUGGCACACACUGAAUUUUCUUGUCUCAUUCUAUUAAUGUAUCAUUCAUCUAUCCAUUCAUAUUUAUGAACUGCUGGUUUUCUGUCAUACACUAUUAUACGCCUGGGGAUAUAGCAUUAGCCAGGACCAUGGUUCUUGUUCUUAUGUGACUGUUGGGCUAGUAGAAAAAAAAUACAAUGAAAACAAAAUCAGAUAGAAAAGAUAAUUUUGAAAAGUGAUACCAAUCUUAAAAAAUAAUUAAAUGAGGCAGUUUGAAGGUAAUGAAGUCUAAAAAGGAGGGAUAGCCUGAAAAAGCUUUCUGGAAAGAGAGACAUCUGAGCUAAGACAUGAACUGAAAUAGCCAACCAUGCAAAGAUAAAGAUCCUCUCAGGCAAAGGGAAGAUAAGUUUCAAAGUCUCUGAAGCAUGGGUAAACUAGGUUUGUUCAAGAAGCAGAAACAGUAAGUCAGAGGCAUAAUCAAAAGAAAACUGGUAGGAAAAGAGAUUGAAAUGGAAGGGAGGGCCUAGGUUUUGCAGAAUAUUAUUUCUAUUUUCACAAAUUAUUCUUUAUAUAGUCCUGCAUUGACAGCUCCUUUGAAUAUAUCACACCAGCCCAACUCUUUCUCUUUGUUGUGUUAGAAGAAUCAGGGUGGUUUCGUUUCCUCUCAUAAUCCAUAACCCUUACUUGUACUGAAUGUUCCAUUUAGGUGUUUCUUCCAUUUAUCAUGAACAUAACACUUAAUGUGAUGCUUCAAAACAUAAAUUUCCAUUUUCACCCCUUUCUUGAGCUCUUUUUAAUAACUAAGAUGGUGUUUUUGAUACCUUUGCAUUAUUUCAAUUAUGUAGCCCAUUUUAAGUACUCUGAGAAUCUUUAAUAAUGAGGAUCUUUAAUAAUUUUUGAUAAGAAAAUCAAUUAAUUAAUAUACAAAACAAAGAAAAAAGAUAAUGUGAGCCCACAAUAAACCACUUUGUUUAAUAUAACUGUUUUGAUUAAGCAACUCAAUAUCUUGAUAUUUAACCCCUUUGUUUGAACCAAUUUCUCCCAUUUGGAACAGGACCAUUUACCCAAUGCCUGUACCCCCAUUGUAUCUUGGAAGUAGCUAACUUUUUUUUUUUCUAUUUUACAGGCUUAUAGGCAUAAGGGACUUGUCUUUUCUCAGAUGAGACUUUGGACUGUGGACUUUUGAGUUAAUCCAUACUUUUAGAACCUUGUUGUCAAUACAUACCACUAGAUGCAUCUUUUUUUCUCUUCAGUAGAAAUUUUCAGAGCAAAACACACAAUGCUCUGACAAGAUAAACAUUUAUAUAUACAAAUAAAGAAAUUGAAGUAUAAUAAUGUUUUGAAAAAUGAUUGCCAUAUUGAUAUGGUUUGGCUUCAUGUCCCCACCUCAUUUUGAAUUGUAAUUCCCAGUGUUUUGUGGGGGCUGGUGGGAGGUUAUUGGAUCACAAGAGAGGGUUUCCCCUUGCUGUUCUGCUGAGUGUGUUCUCACAAGUUCUGAUGCUUUAAAAGUGUGAGGGACUUUCCCCUUCCCUCUCACUCGCUCCUGCUGUCAUGUGAAGAUAUGUUUGCUUCCUCUUCACCUUCCACCAUGAUUGUAAGUUUUCUGAGGCCUCCCAGGAAUGACUCCUGUACAGUCUAUAGAACUGUAAGUCAAUUAAAUCUAUUUUUUCAUAAAU
rnacentral:lncRNA from 1 species